rnacentral:rRNA from 1 species
AACGUAGGUCCCGAGCGUUAUCCGGAUUUACUGGGCGUAAAGCGUGUUCAGGCGGUCUAGCAAGUCGGGCAUGAAAUCUCUCGGCUCAACCGGGAGGGGUUGUCCGAUACUGCUGGGCUUGAGGGCAGCAGAGGGUGGUGGAAUUCCGGGUGUAGUGGUGAAAUGCGUAGAUAUCCGGAGGAACACCGAUGGCGAAGGCAAUCCCCUGGGCCUGCACUGACGCUCAUGCACGAAAGCGUGGGGAGCAAACAGG